UAGGGAAUAUUGCACAAUGGGCGAAAGCCUGAUGCAGCAACGCCGCGUGUGUGAUGAAGGCCUUCGGGUCGUAAAGCACUUUUCUGGGAGAUGAGAAAGGACAGUAUCCCAGGAAUAAGUCUCGGCUAACUACGUGCCAGCAGCCGCGGUAAAACGUAGGAGGCGAGCGUUAUCCGGAUUCACUGGGCGUAAAGCGCGUGCAGGUGGCGCGGUAAGUUGGGCGUGAAAGCUCCCGGCUCAACUGGGAGAGGUCGUCCAAUACUACCGUGCUUGAGAGCAGAAGAGGAAGAUGGAAUUCCCGGUGUAGUGGUGAAAUGCGUAGAUAUCGGGAGGAACGCCAGUGGCGAAGGCGAUCUUCUGGUCUGUUCUGACACUCAGACGCGACAGCUAGGGUAGUAAACGGGAUUAGAGACCCCGGUAAUCCUAGCCGUAAACGAUGUGAACUUGGCGUUGGUGGGUUAAACUCCAUCAGUGCCGCAGCAAACGCGUAA
rnacentral:rRNA from 1 species